rnacentral:rRNA from 1 species
GACGAACGCUGGCGGCGUGCUUAACACAUGCAAGUCGAGCGGUAAGGCCCUUUCGGGGGUACACGAGCGGCGAACGGGUGAGUAACACGUGGGUGACCUGCCCUCAGCUCUGGGAUAAGCCUGGGAAACCGGGUCUAAUACCGGAUAUGACUCCAUGACGCAUGUUGUGGGGUGGAAAGCCUUGUGCGGCUGAGGAUGGGCCCGCGGCCUAUCAGCUUGUUGGUGGGGUGAUGGCCUACCAAGGCGACGACGGGUAGCCGGCCUGAGAGGGCGACCGGCCACACUGGGACUGAGACACGGCCCAGACUCCUACGGGAGGCAGCAGUGGGGAAUCUUGCGCAAUGGGCGAAAG